GGACCCGUAGCUUAGCCAGGUAAAGCACCCGGCUUUUAACCGGGUGACCGAGGGUUCAAAUCCCUCCGGGUCCG
rnacentral:tRNA from 1 species